GCUUAACGCGAAGAACCUUACCCACACUUGACAUGCCUCUUUUGGCUUUCAGAGAUGAUUGCCUUCGGUUCGGCCGGGGAGUGCACAGGUGCUGCAUGGCUGUCGUCAGCUCGUGUCGUGAGAUGUUGGGUUAAGUCCCGCAACGAGCGCAACCCUUAUCGUAUGUUGCCAGCAUUUAGUUGGGCACUCGUGCGAGACUGCCGGUGAUAAGCCGGAGGAAGGCGGGGACGACGUCAAGUCAUCAUGGCCCUUACGUGUGGGGCUAGAAACGUGCUACAAUGGGAGUGACAGUGAGCAGCAAGGUCGCGAGGCCAAGCUAAUCUCCAAAAGCUCUCUCAGUUCAGAUUGUAGUCUGCAACUCGACUACAUGAAGUUGGAAUCGCUAGUAAUCGCAAAUCAGCAUGUUGCGGUGAAUACGUUCCCGGGUCUUGUACACACCGGAGGUCGGGUGGGGGAGGG
rnacentral:rRNA from 1 species